rnacentral:rRNA from 1 species
AACGAACGCUGGCGGCAGGCCUAACACAUGCAAGUCGAGCGAGGACUUCGGUUCUAGCGGCGGACGUGGGAGUAACGCGUGGGAAUGUGCCCUUCUCUACGGAAUAGCCCUGGGAAACUGGGAGUAAUACCGUAUACGCCCUAUUCGGGAAGGAUUUAUCGGAGAAGGAUCAGCCCGAGUUGGAUUAGGUAGUUGGUGGGGUAAUGGCCUACCAAGCCGACGAUCAUAGCUGGGUUGAGAGGAUGCUCAGCCACGCUGGGACUGAGACACGGCCCAGACUCCUACGGGAGGCAGCAGUGGGGAAUCUUAGACAAUGGGGGCAACCCUGAUCUAGCCAUGCCGCGUGAGUGAUGAAGGCCUUAGGGUUGUAAAGCUCUUUCAGCUGGGAAGAUAAUGACGGUACCAGCAGAAGAAGCCCCGGCUAACUACGUG